CAAGGAGGAAAGUGACAGAGGGCAGAGACUAUCUAGUGUCAAAAGCAGUUGCAACAGUUCCACAUUGGUCUCAGAUGUUUGCAAUUCUGUGUUUAGUGUUGUUGCUCACUAACAGCUGAAGUCUGAAAAGGGAAGGCAUUUUAUUGGAGGAAUUUCUCAGGUAUAGGCACUUCUCUAAGACCUAUGCCUUUGAGAUUCUGCAGACUCCCUUCACAAUUAGCAGAAAAUUUAUGCACAAAAUUUUCCAUACAAAUUAAGGAAUUUACUCAUCCUUAGCACUGUCUCCAAGUCCCAUACCAAAUUCAAUUAUUCAUGUAUUCAAUAAUUCCAGAAACAGUUAAUUGAAUAGCAAUGUACAAUGGUGGAUAAGAGGUAAGGCUCUGAAGCCAGCCUGCCUGAGUCGAAAUCCAGGCCCUGCCUGGGAGACCUUGGCAAGUAAGGUCUCUCUGUGCUUCAUCUAUAAAAUGGGGAAGAUAAUAGAGCCUACCGCACAGGGUUGUUAUGAGGAUUGAUGGAUUAUUAAAUGUGAAACACUUGGAACAAUGUCUGCCACUGUAGUAUGCAAGAUUCCUUAAAUGCCCCUCAAAGAUGUUCUCCCCUAAUCCCCAGAACCUGGGAAUAUGAUGAAACAUCACUCCCCCUUGUUAUGCAGGCACAAUUGAGUUAAAAUAGGAGAUUCUCUGGGUGGGCCCAAUCUAAUCAUACGAGCCCCUUUAAAAGCAGAGUGCUUUCUUCAGGGGCUGGUAGAGGAGGAAGUCCGGGAGUUUCCAAGUGUGAGAAGGACUUGAUGUGCCAUUGCUGGCUUUGAGGAGAGGGCACCAAGUGAGAAGGAAUAGACACCUUCGGAGCUGAUAGACACCCCGGCUGACAGCCAGCAAGGAAAUGGAGACUCAGUUCUACAGCCUCAAGGAAGUAAAUUCAGCUAACAAUGCGAAUGAGCUUAGAAGUCGAUUCUUCUCAGAACCUCCCCAUAAGAGCCCAGCUGGCUGACACAUUGACUUCAGCCUUGUGAGAUUCUGAGCAGAAAAUCCAGUCAAGUCUUCUUGGACUUCAGAACUACAGAAUGGGGUGAGGAGAAUGAGCUGACAGAUUCUCAGUAAUGCAGCCAAGGAUGUGAAGAGGCAGGUCCGGAGCUUGCUGGAAGGACCAACUGUGCACACUCACGUUGGCAAGCUCCGGAAUCCCAGCUGAGCCAAGGCCCUGGCUUUACUUUACCUGGGAGAAGAGAUCAGACCUCUACCCUCCGAAAUAGCUGACCAUUCAUCUGGCAAAUAAUGGAACACCCUGACUGAUUUCCUUGUGUUGGCUGUGUUAAAAUAGCUUAAUAAUCUCCAUGCAACAGAACUCCCUUGAGUAAAUGUGAGUUUCAGACCCA